AUACACCUAGGAUCCAGUGCGGUUUGGAAGGAUUUUCCAUGUUUUCCAGCAGGUGGAUAGAUGCUCUCCACUGUAUUCUGCCUUUUGAGUUAUCAAACUUUUCUGAGGUUGUAGUACUACUUCCAAGAUUUGCAAGUGACCGGAAAAUUUGAUCACUGGCUGUUGUGUGUUGUCCUCUUUACUUGAUUCUAUCAAGUGCCUAUUUGAAGACUGACCUUCAAAGAAAAGAUUGCAUGGCAAGCAGGGAAAUACUUUUUUGACAUAAAACCUACGAUUUUUUUCCCCAUGGAGAUCUUACAACAUAGGAUUUUUUAAUGUUCUACUAACAAGAAAAUUUCCAUGUUCAAAAUCUUCAUAUGAUGUCAACAAAAACAAGAACUGUGAAGAAAAAUUUACUAUGCUGGUGAACAGAAGAAAGUGGAAAUAAGAUGAGGUCUUUUAACUCUUACUACUGACUCUAGGCUAUUUUAAGAACAAUUGCUGCAGGGUUGAUUGAUGAGGUAGGUGAUUGUAUGGGAACUGCUGAAUCAUGUCCUGAACCUCUGAUUGAUCACCUGGGGCAAGCAAUGAGUCAGCCCUGGGAGCACAGGUGAAGGCAAUUCACCUGUGCUGCUGGAAGAGGUGGAGCCUGGCUGCACCUCUCCUAGACCCAUUUAAGAGCUGACUACCAGUGGAGAAGGAUCUUUUCUGGAGCUCUCUCCUCUGGAGUUGUGCUGUGAGCCCAGGAUGCAGGUACCCUUCGUAAUAAAGAAAAAGAAACAGGAAAGCAAGGCGAUGCAGGACGGCCUUGUGACAGACACAUUUGGGGAGGGAGGAAGAGAAGUCUCGAGCCUUCUGGAGACAUAAGCAGAUUCUGAAGCAGACCUACCACCUCAUCUUGGUGGCAGUAGCAACCUUCCUGAUGCUCUUCUCCCCACUCCGCUGCGGCAUUUCUUCUGUAAAGGCAGUGGAGAUUGUGUUCAAUCACCUUUUGCUGCUUUGUGUAUGGGAUGGAGAGAGAUUUGGGGUAUUUGAAUUUUUGGAUAUUUGACAGGCUGCAGAUUCUUGAAGAAUGAAGGCUGAGUGUACUGACUUGCCUACAAGACUACUAACAGGUCCUCAUCACAGCUAGCCCUAGAACUCAGCUGCAGGAGAGAAAUUGCUUUUGAGAAGGAGAAUUCCUUUCCAAAGGAUUUGAAAAAACAAUGAACAGCAACAAAACAACUAGCAAGAGCAGAGAAGGAAAAGAAGGCAUUCUCCUUCUGAUGGAAUGUGUGUGAUGCGUGGAAAUCUGUUUGAAAAAUGGAGUUCUCAAGUUCAUACAAAUUUCUAAGAAUUUACAAAAUCAAAAUGGAGAUCAGAACAAGAUCGGAAUAAGAAUCAACACUACAUCCUGGUACAAAACAUCUUCCUUUUCAAAAGUUCUGGAAACAAACUGACAUCUAUUCGUCUUUAUAAUGCUUGGACCUUGCCAGAACUUCUGCAGUUUUGAAAACUCAAUUAGAUUUUCAGGAAUGCUUACAUAAGAGACCCAUGUAAAUUUAACUGCUGGCAAUUUUGUGGAAAGCGAGCCUCAGCAUGGCUAAUGUGUACAUGUUUCCCUUUCCUUCAAAAAACGCUCUGUCAGACAACAAGAUCCAUGAGCUCAGUUGUUCUGACUGCAGUUUGAAAGAGCUCUUCCUUUCUCUUAGAUCUCCUCUUUGUUGUUUCCAUCUCCAAUUAUGGUGUUGGGACUCAUGUCAGAUCAUUUCAGUCUAAGCUCACUGAUUGGAGACAGAAAUAAUCAUGAGGAGAGAAUUACAAUUACCAUUUGGGACAGUUUCCAUGUGGCUGGGGGAACUGAACUUCACACUUCUUCCAGGACCUGUCUCAGCAAUGUAGUCUAAAUGUCCACGUGGGUUCAUACAGCAGAGAAGAGCCUUCACAAUGAGGAAGAGGCAGCAAGCUCUCUCCCCUCACACACUGCCUUCCUUCUCUGUUCACUAUCAGGUCUUUGUACUUUGUACUUUCUGUGCGGUACUGGAGCUUGUCUAAUGCACUGCAAUAGGAAAACAGCUUUCCAGCUCAGUGGAAACAGAGGAGACAGAGGCUAAUGGGAUUAGGAAAGCUCCUGGCUCUAUAAUUGUGUUGUACAGACACUUCCCAUUGCUACGAUAUUAUUAAGUCAGACAUCUCUCCAUUUGUAACAGCAAGAUUUUAUUUCUCUAUAUCACAUAGCAAAUAUUAACCACUUGAGCUCAUGUUUGCUGCCUAAGACUGACUAGGAAGAACUAUUCCAGUAAAAAAGCGAAGGAAAAUGGUAUUUUUGACUUUUCUAAAAAGCCUAGUGAUGGUUUGAAAAGUUUUAUUGUAUUAAUACUGUGGUGCACAAAUCUUGAAAUUUAGUGUGCAGUUGAUGUUUAUAUCUGCUGACAGCUGGUCUCAUAGCCUUUUGAAAAACUGCUAGUCCACCUAUAUGACCAGAAAUGUAAAUAGGACUCUUAGCCAAAGUUCCCAAAGAUGCUGUGUGGGCACCUCUGGCCCAAACUAAGAAGGGCUUUUCUGAAGAGGUAGUUCAUAUCAAAUAGGUGAGCUGACUCUGAGCAAGGUUUUCUCUUGUCAGGUGUCAUCUUUAUACUUUCAACAUUCAUGCUUGGACCACACGGAGGAGGACAUCUCCUAAAUCGUUGAUAGAUCAAGAGUGGAAAUCUGACAGGGAUGUGGGAAGACGAGAAUGAAGCAAGGGGUGUGUGCAAGGGAACAACCAACCCAGCUGAGCUUUUGAGGUGAAAGAAGGGAGGAAACAGUCUCUUGAAUGAUGGAGUGACACAGUAUCACAGAACUGCAGGGGGUUGGAAGGGACUUUUGGAGAUCAUGUAGUCCACUCCCCCUGCUAAAGCAGGUUCCCAAGAGCAGGUUAUGCAGGAAAGCAUGCAAGUGGAUUUUUAAUAUCUCCAGAAGAGACUCUACAAAUUCUUUGAGCAGCUUGUUCCAGUGUUCUGUCACCUUCAGAGUAAAUAAGUUCUUUCUCACAUUCCUGUGGAACUGCUUGUGUUCCUUCUUGUGCCCACUGCCCUUUGUUCUGUCACUGAAAAGAACAAGGGCCUCAC